rnacentral:lncRNA from 1 species
AGCAGCAAGCAGCAAGCAACGAGCAACGAUUGAUGGCCAACAAAGUGAGAUGACGAGCAACAAUGCGCGAUGGUGGAUGACCAAGCUGCGCGUGAUGACGAGCAGCGUAGGACGCAAGAUGACGAACGAUGAGACCCACAGACAAUGGCGAAUAAGGAGAAAUGCGAGCGACGGAUAACAGUGAUUGGUGGGCAACACAAGCAAUGAGUAAUAGUGAGCAGCGAC